rnacentral:lncRNA from 1 species
UAAAUUUGAGGGUAUGACAAGUUAUGCAUAAAAUAAAUAGAAAAUGUAUAUGGCAAAAGGGUAAGAGUUAAAUGUUAAAUACCAGGGUAUAGUUGCAAAAAGUGAUCACUUAAUGGUUCUCUAUCCACAAGUCAAGGGACUCAAAAUAUGGCGCUUUAAGGGAUAACCUAUCAUUGAUUCAAAGUUUCAAAAAUGAUCCACUUACAAUUUAUCAACAUGUUUGAAUCAAAGAAGAUUGAAUUAGUUGAAACAUCC